GUAGGGAAUAUUGGACAAUGGAGGCAACUCUGACCCAGCCAUGCCGCGUGCAGGAAGACGGUCCUCUGGAUUGUAAACUGCUUUUGAAUGGGAAGAAACGCACUUUUGCGAAAGUGUUUGACGGUACUAUUAGAAUAAGCACCGGCUAACUCCGUGCCAGCAGCCGCGGUAAUACGGAGGGUGCAAGCGUUAUCCGGAUUUAUUGGGUUUAAAGGGUGCGUAGGCGGCUUGAUAAGUCUGGGGUUAAAGGCGGCAGCUUAACUGUACGCAUGCCCUAGAUACUGUUGAGCUUGAGUGACCUGGAGGUAGCUGGAAUUCCCUGUGUAGCGGUGAAAUGCAUAGAUACGGGGAGGAAUACCGAUUGCGAAGGCAUGUUACUACGGGUAAACUGACGCUGAUGCACGAAAGCGUGGGGAUCAAACAGGAUUAGAAACCCGGGUAGUCC
rnacentral:rRNA from 1 species